GGUUCCAUAGUGUAGUGGUUAGCACUCCAGACUUUGAAUCUGGCGACCUGGGUUCGAAUCCCGGUGGAACCU
rfam:Zea mays cultivar B73 chromosome 8, whole genome shotgun sequence.